rnacentral:rRNA from 1 species
GGGUUGUGAGGUUAAGCGACUAAGCGUACACGGUGGAUGCCCUGGCAGUCAGAGGCGAUGAAGGACGUGCUAAUCUGCGAUAAGCGUCGGUAAGGUGAUAUGAACCGUUAUAACCGGCGAUUUCCGAAUGGGGAAACCCAGUGUGUUUCGACACACUAUCAUUAACUGAAUCCAUAGGUUAAUGAGGCGAACCGGGGGAACUGAAACAUCUAAGUACCCCGAGGAAAAGAAAUCAACCGAGAUUCCCCCAGUAGCGGCGAGCGAACGGGGAGCAGCCCAGAGCCUGAAUCAGUGUGUGUGUUAGUGGAAGCGUCUGGAAAGGCGCGCGAUACAGGGUGACAGCCCCGUACACAAAAAUGCACAUGCUGUGAGCUCGAUGAGUAGGGCGGGACACGUGGUAUCCUGUCUGAAUAUGGGGGGACCAUCCUCCAAGGCUAAAUACUCCUGACUGACCGAUAGUGAACCAGUACCGUGAGGGAAAGGCGAAAAGAACCCCGGCGAGGGGAGUGAAAAGAACCUGAAACCGUGUACGUACAAGCAGUGGGAGCACGCUUAGGCGUGUGACUGCGUACCUUUUGUAUAAUGGGUCAGCGACUUAUAUUCUGUAGCAAGGUUAACCGAAUAGGGGAGCCGAAGGGAAACCGAGUCUUAACUGGGCGUUAAGUUGCAGGGUAUAGACCCGAAACCCGGUGAUCUAGCCAUGGGCAGGUUGAAGGUUGGGUAACACUAACUGGAGGACCGAACCGACUAAUGUUGAAAAAUUAGCGGAUGACUUGUGGCUGGGGGUGAAAGGCCAAUCAAACCGGGAGAUAGCUGGUUCUCCCCGAAAGCUAUUUAGGUAGCGCCUCGUGAAUUCAUCUCCGGGGGUAGAGCACUGUUUCGGCAAGGGGGUCAUCCCGACUUACCAACCCGAUGCAAACUGCGAAUACCGGAGAAUGUUAUCACGGGAGACACACGGCGGGUGCUAACGUCCGUCGUGAAGAGGGAAACAACCCAGACCGCCAGCUAAGGUCCCAAAGUCAUGGUUAAGUGGGAAACGAUGUGGGAAGGCCCAGACAGCCAGGAUGUUGGCUUAGAAGCAGCCAUCAUUUAAAGAAAGCGUAAUAGCUCACUGGUCGAGUCGGCCUGCGCGGAAGAUGUAACGGGGCUAAACCAUGCACCGAAGCUGCGGCAGCGACGCUGAUGCGUUGUUGGGUAGGGGAGCGUUCUGUAAGCCUGCGAAGGUGUGCUGUGAGGCAUGCUGGAGGUAUCAGAAGUGCGAAUGCUGACAUAAGUAACGAUAAAGCGGGUGAAAAGCCCGCUCGCCGGAAGACCAAGGGUUCCUGUCCAACGUUAAUCGGGGCAGGGUGAGUCGACCCCUAAGGCGAGGCCGAAAGGCGUAGUCGAUGGGAAACAGGUUAAUAUUCCUGUACUUGGUGUUACUGCGAAGGGGGGACGGAGAAGGCUAUGUUGGCCGGGCGACGGUUGUCCCGGUUUAAGCGUGUAGGCUGGUUUUCCGGUGCAAAUCCGGAAAAUCAAGGCUGAGGCGUGAUGACGAGGCACUACGGUGCUGAAGCAACAAAUGCCCUGCUUCCGGAAAAGCCUCUAAGCAUCAGGUAACAUCAAAUCGUACCCCAAACCGACACAGGUGGUCAGGUAGAGAAUACCAAGGCGCUUGAGAGAACUCGGGUGAAGGAACUAGGCAAAAUGGUGCCGUAACUUCGGGAGAAGGCACGCUGAUAUGUAGGUGAAGUCCCUCGCGGAUGGAGCUGAAAUCAGUCGAAGAUACCAGCUGGCUGCAACUGUUUAUUAAAAACACAGCACUGUGCAAACACGAAAGUGGACGUAUACGGUGUGACGCCUGCCCGGUGCCGGAAGGUUAAUUGAUGGGGUUAGCCGCAAGGCGAAGCUCUUGAUCGAAGCCCCGGUAAACGGCGGCCGUAACUAUAACGGUCCUAAGGUAGCGAAAUUCCUUGUCGGGUAAGUUCCGACCUGCACGAAUGGCGUAAUGAUGGCCAGGCUGUCUCCACCCGAGACUCAGUGAAAUUGAACUCGCUGUGAAGAUGCAGUGUACCCGCGGCAAGACGGAAAGACCCCGUGAACCUUUACUAUAGCUUGACACUGAACAUUGAGCCUUGAUGUGUAGGAUAGGUGGGAGGCUUGGAAGUGUGGACGCCAGUCUGCAUGGAGCCGACCUUGAAAUACCACCCUUUAAUGUUUGAUGUUCUAACGUUGACCCGUAAUCCGGGUUGCGGACAGUGUCUGGUGGGUAGUUUGACUGGGGCGGUCUCCUCCUAAAGAGUAACGGAGGAGCACGAAGGUUGGCUAAUCCUGGUCGGACAUCAGGAGGUUAGUGCAAUGGCAUAAGCCAGCUUGACUGCGAGCGUGACGGCGCGAGCAGGUGCGAAAGCAGGUCAUAGUGAUCCGGUGGUUCUGAAUGGAAGGGCCAUCGCUCAACGGAUAAAAGGUACUCCGGGGAUAACAGGCUGAUACCGCCCAAGAGUUCAUAUCGACGGCGGUGUUUGGCACCUCGAUGUCGGCUCAUCACAUCCUGGGGCUGAAGUAGGUCCCAAGGGUAUGGCUGUUCGCCAUUUAAAGUGGUACGCGAGCUGGGUUUAGAACGUCGUGAGACAGUUCGGUCCCUAUCUGCCGUGGGCGCUGGAGAACUGAGGGGGGCUGCUCCUAGUACGAGAGGACCGGAGUGGACGCAUCACUGGUGUUCGGGUUGUCAUGCCAAUGGCACUGCCCGGUAGCUAAAUGCGGAAGAGAUAAGUGCUGAAAGCAUCUAAGCACGAAACUUGCCCCGAGAUGAGUUCUCCCUGACUCCUUGAGAGUCCUGAAGGAACGUUGAAGACGACGACGUUGAUAGGCCGGGUGUGUAAGCGCAGCGAUGCGUUGAGCUAACCGGUACUAAUGAACCGUGAGGCUUAACCUUACAACGCCGAAGGUGUUU